GAUGAAGAACGUAGCGAAAUGCGAUAAGUAAUGUGAAUUGCAGAAUUCAGUGAAUCAUCGAAUCUUUGAACGCACAUUGCGCCCCCUGGUAUUCCGGGGGGCAUGCCUGUCCGAGCGUCAUUACAACCCUCAAGCUCUGCUUGGUAUUGGGCCCCGCCGCCCCGGCGGGCCCUAAAGUCAGUGGCGGUGCCAUCCGGCUCCGAGCGUAGUAAUUCUUCUCGCUCUGGAGGUCCGGUUGUGUGCUUGCCAUCAACCCCCAAUUUUUUUCAGGUUGACCUCGGAUCAGGUAGGGAUACCCGCUGAACUUAAGCAUAUCAAUAAGCGGAGGA
rnacentral:misc_RNA from 1 species